rnacentral:rRNA from 1 species
GAUGAACGCUGGCGGCGUGCCUAAUACAUGCAAGUCGAGCGAAAGGACGAUGAGCUUGCGCCUCUGCCGUUAGCGACGGACGGGCGAGUAACACGUGCAUAACCUUCUUCUAAUUCUUGGAGGACUUCGGGAAACCGGUGCCACUACCACCGCAUAUGUUCAACCGCAGGGUUCAGUAGUGCAUGACAGUUUUGCUGUCUCAUUUAGACGGAUCCGCGCCGGAUUAGCUAGUUGGUAAGGUAACGGCAUACCAAGGCGACGAUGCGUAGCCGACCUGAGAGGGUGAUCGGCCACACUGGAACUGAGACACGGUCCAGACUCCUACGGGAGGCAGCAGUGGGGAAUAUUGGGCAAUGGGCGAAAGCCUGAUGCAGCCACGCCGCGUGAGUGAAGAAGGCCUUCGGGUCGUAAAACUCUGUUGUUGGGGAAGAACAGCUGUGGAUGUAACUCUGGACGUCUUGACGGUACCCAAUGAGAAAGCCACGGCUAACUACGUG